CGGCAAUCUUCUGGCUGAGAUAGCACUCCUCACAGCACUCCGACUGAAGCGCAUGGAUCCAUUUGUGCAACCACACAGAUAUCAGACUCUGGCGUGAGACAAUGAAUGGCAAGGCAGCAGACUCCCCCAGCUGCCUAGUCAAACAGCAUCCCUUCUCGUGUUCUUGGCUUCAAGUUGUUCAGGUGCAAGAUUAUACCCACUUCAGCCUUCAGUUCAAGGUACUAUGUGCUGCUAUCAGUGAAAACAGUGAUAGCCACCAUUUGUCAUUUGGUACAAUGGCAUCACUCCCUCCUCGUUCCUGCCCUCCAUCUUCAGCCGAUGGGACCUCAGUUCUGCUGGGACACAGCCCAGGGCCAAGAGGGAGACAGCAGGGCUGAGCCUGCCGGAGAGAGGCCAACCAAGUGCAGCGCUUCACUGCUCUUGUAAGCACACGACGUAGCAGAGGACGGUGUUGUGCUAGGGGCAGCAAAAGCACUGCUGUAGACCUGUUUUCAUUUCAGCGUGCUGGCUGGUA
rnacentral:lncRNA from 1 species